UGGGGAUUAGUCUAAUGGUAGGACACCUGAUUCUGGUUCAGAGAGUGCGGGUUCGAAUCCUGCAUCCCCAGCCA
rnacentral:tRNA from 1 species